rnacentral:rRNA from 1 species
UACGUAGGAGGCGAGCGUUGUCCGGAAUUACUGGGCGUAAAGCGUGCGCAGGCGGUUUGUUAAGUCUGUUGUGAAAUCCCCGAGCUCAACUUGGGAAUUGCAAUGGAUACUGGCAGGCUGGAGUAUGGUAGAGGAAGGUGGAAUUCCCGGUGUAGCAGUGAAAUGCGUAGAGAUCGGGAGGAACACCAGUGGCGAAGGCGGCCUUCUGGACCAAUACUGACGCUCAUGCACGAAAGCGUGGGGAGCAAACAGG